CUGUAUGUGCCGUUUGUACAGACGUGGUUCAUCACAACGCAUUUGAAAUUAUGCAACACUCCAUACAGACGCUGUUUGUUCUCCGUGUCGAGGUGCUUCGUUUGUACCUCUGCAAGAGCUAUGCACAUGCUUAGUUCCUGUGAAAUGCGGAACUAGCUAGGUGCAUCACAUUAUCGCACAAUUCUUUUAACAACUUUUGGAGAGGAAUCCGGCAAAAGGCGAUUGUGUUGAAGGCGGGGCUGCUGAAUGUCUUUCCUUCUGAGGGAACACAAGCACAGAAUUAGGGAACCUUGGGGUUUUAAGGAAGAGGAGCACUAGGAAGACAAGACCCGUCCCACAUUGGCUUCUACGGUUGCUUAAAUACGAAGGGCAGGACUGGAACGCCCGAGCCAGGUAUGGCCCUUGCAGGCGCCUGGCAGUUUGCUCAAGGUCUUGGGCAAAGGUGUUUGGCAAUAUGUCAAACAAUGGGGAGCCACGGUCAACGGCAUGAAGCUCGGGGGCCGGGGGCCAAAGACAUAUCCAGUUGGUAGUGUCAAUCAUGGUACAAUAGCUUCCCUCACUGUUCGUGCAGGGGCCAGGCAACGGCUUCCCUCGGUGCGCCGAAGAAGCGGCAGCUGCUGCUGCUUGCGUGCCCGCCGGCCCCCUGCUGUGUAUGAUCGCACUGCGCCACCAUUCGGGCACCGCAAUUUCACAUGUGUGCGAGUGUGUUUUCCUAACGUUGGUGUUGGUGUUCCAUCCGCCGCAAAGAACCGGAACUCCAGAAGUCCGGGGACUGCUGCUGCUGUCCGGGGGCUGCAGCAUGGUUAAUUUGAGCAAGCUGUAGACUCUUUCUCCUUACGCGGGUAAAAACUUGAGCGUCUUCGAGUCCGCCUCACCUCCCAGCAACCAGCAUGCCUCCCAACAAACCUGGGCUACAGCUGCUAUGCGGGCCGCCUAGACCUGACCAUGUUGUCGCCAACCUGACCGGGCCCCCACGCGCGCACACAUACACCACACCAGCAUCCUCCUCCAUGCGCCAUUACCACCGCAACAACACCCCUCACCCUCACAACAACCUUGCCGCAAUGGACCGUUGCUCAUCCUCCUCCCGAAGCAUCUGCCGUACAAUCCCCACCACCGACUCUGCCACCUGCACCCCGCCUCCACCUCCUCCACCUCCCCCCGUAUACCGCCGCUCUAGCAACCGGUUCAGCGCACCACGCAGCUGCUUCACCAGCACGGCGGUUUGCGCGCGGCAGGAAAUACGCAAUACCCCGUUUCCAGCAGCCGCCGCCGCCGCCGCCGCCAUGGCUGCUCCAGAGCCGGGCCCAGCGCCCACGAGCACCGCCCCCUCGGCGUGCAGCACCGUCAGGGGGCCCCCGAACAGCAUCAGACAUAGAGGGGACACGGAGGUCACGUCGCGGAGGAACAACCGAGCGGUCUUGACCUGCGGGAGACGGGUUUCGGCGGGGGCCACACCAGG
rnacentral:lncRNA from 1 species